GACGAACGCUGGCGGCGUGCCUAAUACAUGCAAGUCGAGCGGACCGAAGGGAGCUUGCUCCUUUAGGUUAGCGGCGGACGGGUGAGUAACACGUGGGCAACCUGCCCUGCAGACUGGGAUAACUUCGGGAAACCGGAGCUAAUACCGGAUAACACCGAAAACCGCAUGGUUUUCGGUUGAAAGGCGGAGCAAUCUGCUACUUGGGGAUGGGCCUGCGGCGCAUUAGCUAGUUGGUGAGGUAACGGCUCACCAAGGCGACGAUGCGUAGCCGACCUGAGAGGGUGAACGGCCACACUGGGACUGAGACACGGCCCAG
rnacentral:rRNA from 1 species